ACUCCUACGGGAGGCAGCAGUGGGAAUCUUGCGCAAUGGGCGAAAGCCUGACGCAGCCAUGCCGCGUGGAUGAUGAAGGUCUUAGGAUUGUAAAAUCCUUUCACCGGUGAAGAUAAUGACUGUAGCCGGAGAAGAAGCCCCGGCUAACUUCGUGCCAGCAGCCGCGGUAAUACGAAGGGCGUAGCGUUGCUCGGAAUUACUGGGCGUAAAGGGAGCGUAGGCGGACAUUUAAGUCAGGGGUGAAAUCCCGGAGCUCAACUCCGGAACUGCCUUUGAUACUGGGUGUCUUGAGUGUGAGAGAGGUAUGUGGAACUCCGAGUGUAGAGGUGAAAUUCGUAGAUAUUCGGAAGAACACCAGUGGCGAAGGCGACAUACUGGCUCAUUACUGACGCUGAGGCUCGAAAGCGUGGGGAGCAAACAGGAUUAGAUACCCUGGUAGGCUCUGC
rnacentral:rRNA from 1 species